CUCAGUAUCAUUAAGGUUGGGGGACACUGCGUUUCCCAUCAUGCUCCCUGGGGUCAUGUAAGGGUCAGAGUCAGGGUCGACACGGUCGAUUCCCUUCCAGGGCACGCCAGGCUGGAACUCUAGAGAAGAAACACACAUCUGAAGCUCCAGUCCCCCGUC